rnacentral:lncRNA from 1 species
GCACACACCACCCCCUAAGGUACCAGGCUCAGGCCAGCUAGAGAAAUGGAAGGAUCUUCUUGUAGCAGAACUCAAAGGAAAGCCCAAAGACUGUGGCAUAAAAACAACCUCCAUUGCGGCAAGAUUUGUACAUAUUGACCUGGGAGAGGCUGCAUUCAGUUCCCCUCCAGGACUUUUAUGAAUUGGAAAUAUGCCCCCGGCUUAGCCAAGGUCAUGGGCACCACUCCUUGAGCUUGGGGUCUUCCACCAGUACAACUGAAAACCCUGGACAUCAUGUAUAAAGCACACCUAAGAAGAAGACUGAAGUGGAGAGAACAAGACAGACCAACUAGGGACUUUGGGAACCAAGGAAUGACACAGCACUGAGUUCCUUCUUUUUCGUGUUUGG